ACAGGCUUAACACAUGCAAGUCGAGGGGCAGCGGGAAGGUUAGCUUGCUAAUCUUUGCCGGCGACCGGCGCACGGGUGAGUAACACGUAUGCAACCUGUCCGGUACAGGGGGAUAAGCGGCGGAAACGCCGUCUAAUACCGCGUGACAACCCGAGGGGGCAUCCCCUUGGGUUCAAAGGAGAGAUCCGGUACCAGCUGGGCAUGCGGCGCAUUAGCUAGUUGGCGGGGCAACGGCCCACCAAGGCGACGAUGCGUAGGGGUUCUGAGAGGAAGGUCCCCCACACUGGAACUGAGACACGGUCCAGACUCCUACGGGAGGCAGCAGUGAGGAAUAUUGGUCAAUGGGCGCAAGCCUGAACCAGCCAAGUCGCGUGAGGGAAGACGGCCCUACGGGUUGUAAACCUCUUUUGCCGGGGAGCAAGCCUGAGCACGUGUGCCCAGGCGGAGAGUACCCGGAGAAAAAGCAUCGGCUAACUCCGUGCCAGCAGCCGCGGUAAUACGGAGGAUGCGAGCGUUAUCCGGAUUUAUUGGGUUUAAAGGGUGCGCAGGCGGGCUGUUAAGCCGGCGGUAAAAAUUCAGGGCUCAACCCUGUCGAGCCGUCGGAACUGGCAGUCUUGAGUGGGCGAGAAGUAUGCGGAAUGCGUGGUGUAGCGGUGAAAUGCAUAGAUAUCACGCAGAACGCCGAUUGCGAAGGCAGCAUACCGGCGCCCAACUGACGCUGAGGCACGAAAGCGUGGGGAUCGAACAGGAUUAGAUACCCUGGUAGUCCACGCAGUAAACGA
rnacentral:rRNA from 1 species